rnacentral:misc_RNA from 1 species
CCAUAGCCCCGAUUGCAGUGGAAAUCCUUUUUUGCAUGGGCUUCGAGAACCUCAGCCUGACAAAACGUUUUGCAAAAAGAUUGACUUCGUCGAACCACUUCGCUAGGUCUGCAACGGAAAGCGGAAUCAAGC